CACGUAGGCGGACAUUUAAGUCAGGGGUGAAAUCCCAGAGCUCAACUCUGGAACUGCCUUUGAUACUGGGUGUCUAGAGUAUGGAAGAGGUGAGUGGAAUUCCGAGUGUAGAGGUGAAAUUCGUAGAUAUUCGGAGGAACACCAGUGGCGAAGGCGGCUCACUGGUCCAUUACUGACGCUGAGGUGCGAAAGCGUGGGAGCAAACA
rnacentral:rRNA from 1 species